rnacentral:rRNA from 1 species
GGCUUGACNUGAACCGGAAACACCUAGAGAUAGGUGCCCCACUUGUGGUCGGUUUACAGGUGGUGCAUGGUUGUCGUCAGCUCGUGUCGUGAGAUGUUGGGUUAAGUCCCGCAACGAGCGCAACCCUCGUUCCAUGUUGCCAGCGGGUUAUGCCGGGGACUCAUGGGAGACUGCCGGGGUCAACUCGGAGGAAGGUGGGGACGACGUCAAAUCAUCAUGCCCCUUAUGUCUUGGGCUUCACGCAUGCUACAAUGGCCGGUACAAUGGGUUGCGAUACUGUGAGGUGGAGCUAAUCCCAAAAAGCCGGUCUCAGUUCGGAUUGGGGUCUGCAACUCGACCCCAUGAAGUCGGAGUCGCUAGUAAUCGCAGAUCAGCAACGCUGCGGUGAAUACGUUCCCGGG